AUUGAACGCUGGCGGCAUGCCUUACACAUGCAAGUCGAACGGCAGCGCGGACUUCGGUCUGGCGGCGAGUGGCGAACGGGUGAGUAAUACAUCGGAACGUACCCUGUUGUGGGGGAUAACUAGUCGAAAGAUUAGCUAAUACCGCAUACGACCUGAGGGUGAAAGUGGGGGACCGCAAGGCCUCACGCAGCAGGAGCGGCCGAUGUCUGAUUAGCUAGUUGGUGGGGUAAAGGCCCACCAAGGCGACGAUCAGUAGCUGGUCUGAGAGGACGAUCAGCCACACUGGGACUGAGACACGGCCCAGACUCCUACGGGAGGCAGCAGUGGGGAAUUUUGGACAAUGGGGGCAACCCUGAUCCAGCAAUGCCGCGUGUGUGAAGAAGGCCUUCGGGUUGUAGAGCACUUUUGUCCGGAAAGAGAUCGCGCUGGUUAAUACCUGGCGUGGAUGACGGUACCGGAAGAAUAAGCACCGGCUAACUACGUGCCAGCAGCCGCCGUAA
rnacentral:rRNA from 1 species